UUUCCUUUUAGUCAGCUCUACAAUCCGUACCCCUGUAUUUUUCAUAAGGUUUCUUGAAAACCGUCAAAAAUGUUGAAACACAAAUGUAAAGUUAUGAAAUAGCUGUAAAAAUGACAAAAUAAUCAUUGACUACCUCAUGUGCAUGUACCUAUAAAUUGAUAAGUGAUUACAGAUAUUUACUAAAUUGUUUAGUAAUUUUAUGUAAGUCAUAUUUUCAACCAUUUUUACUGUAACAUAUACAUUUGUAUUUCAACGAAUGCUCUUUACGUUUGAACUUAGUCUUGUUAUCCGGAAACCAUUGGCGUUGUCUGUUCGACUUAUGAGAUUGACUGUUCCUCUGGUGUUUAUCUCCUAUCUCAAAAGACUGUUGUGAGUUUCUCAAGACGAUGAAACUAUCAUUAAUUUAAGACCCCGUUGUUCCUAAGGGAAUCACGUUUUUGUACAUACACACCGGAGAAAAAGAUUUGAUAAAUUGUAUAGCAGAACUCAAAGCAAUAACAAUUGAACAUCACACACAUAUGUACACAACACACACAAAUUACGAAUGAUACAUAUAUAUAUAUUUACUCUGGUGAACACAAUUUUAAACCUGGUAUCUAUUUAUUGAGUAAAAUAUGAAAUAAUGCAAACACAAUACUACUCUACACAUGUAAAACCUUAUAGUGUAUUGUUUAUUUGUUCUGACAUGCAUGCAUUCGCCUUCACGUACAAAAUUAUUUGCAUCCAUACGCAUAAAUCGUAAUUCUGAGGUAGAUAUCAAAUCAUAAACAUCAAACUUUUACCACAAAAAAUAAAAUCACAAAAAUACUGAACUUAGAGGAAAAUUUAAUCGGAAAGUCCAUACUUACAUGGCAAAAUCAAAUAGCAAAACACAUCAAAAACGAUUGGACAAGAACUGUCAUAUUCCUGACUUGGUACAUGCAUUUUCAAAUGUAGAAAAUGGUGGAUUAAACCUGGUUUUAUAGCGCCAACCCUCUCACUGUGAUGGCAGUCUCAUCACAUUCCGUUAUAUUUACAAUGAUACAAAGACAAUUCAAGAAUUAUUCGUUUAAGAUUAAGUUUGUUCUUACCCUACAAGUAGCGUCGUAUGCCUGCUUUUAUUGGGAAGUUAAUUGUUGACGCUACAUUAUGAUACUUGUGAACACAUUCAGAAAUCAAUUUUACCUUUUUUUAUAUACGCAAUUAUCAAUAAUUUCAAAUAUAAUACUCCGAAUACAAACAUGUUUACACUUCAUCAUAGUAUUG
rnacentral:lncRNA from 1 species